rnacentral:lncRNA from 10 species
GCGGGGGGGUGCUGGCGGGGCGCCCACGGCGCAGCCUCCCGCCUCUAUAUAAACACACGCAUCGCCUCGCUUUGGACUCAAAUUCACAUUGAGAGAAGCUUUUAAAACCACCAGCCCUGAAAUCCUGCCUCCUGCUUUUCCCCCUCUUUCAUUCCUUUUGCCUUCCUUUCUUUUUUCCCCAUUUCUUCCCCCAGCAGCAACUCCAGAGCCGAGAGACCGCGUCCCGGGACGGACUGCCUUUUCUUAAUUGAUACAAUAGCCCAGCUCGGGUUUUCCACCUCCUCCCCCAACCCCACCCCGCCUCACCCCUCCCGCCCGCUGCCGCCGC